UAUAUAUAUCAACGUUAUUAUGCCCGCCAUGUCGGCAAGAUCUUGCUUUUUCACGGCCAUGUUCCUGUUGGUCCAGUUGUUUGGCAUCUUCCUGCUACACGCACCACGGGCUAUGGCAAGAUCGGCGCCCGGUUGUACCGGAAACCCCAAUCAGAAUUCCUUGUCUUGCCCUCCGGACCCUCGAAAUGAGCCGUGUUAUCAUCCACCAUGUCCGAAUUCUUAGUUGUCAGGAGCAGCUAGCAUUGCAAUGCACGUUUUCAAACGGGUGACAAAGGCUGACUCGAGUGGGAAUGGAUGGAUAAGUUCCCUUGUCUCUCUGCGCAUGCAUGCAUGAUUGUGAGAUAAAAAUAUAUCUUUCCUGGUCCACCUUCCAAGGGUGCAGACUUGUGUCAUGUAGUGGGUACAGUUUUAUGAAAAUUUAUAAUGUCUAAAUCUUCUGUGUACUGAGAAUAAAAUAUAUUAUUUUGAUACUUCAUGUGUGUAGAUCGUAUUAAAUGAUGUAUGAAGUUUUUGACCUAAUAUUUGUUGGCGAAAUGGCCUUGCCCAUUUAGAGGCAGCACUUAACUUAGGGUUCAAUGAUGUAUUUGUAAGAAUGCCUGAGCGUGGCAAUGAAUAAUGCUGCAUAUGAAUAAAAUGAAAAUUCAAGAUA